AAUAAUAUAAAGUAAAUCAAUUAUGUUUGUUGCAGUGCUUGAGGAAGGUGGCCAAGUUUGUAGCAGAACAAAAUGAACGAGUGUACAUGCCAAGAGGUCUCCUAUUAACGAAUCCUGUCGACAGGGGUCUACGAGUCAUUGAAAUAUCGAUAUUGGACCAGCCAAUGGUUGCUAGGACAUGACUUUCUUUAUCUGAAUCGACAGAGGAAUUCUUCAUGUAAUCAACAACUUCAUCAUUCACCACUACUCUUCACGGCCAUUCUCAACUUAAUUUUGCACCGACUUUGUGUGUUCUGUCCUGACACUGUAUUUAUAGAUAUAUUUUUAUAAUGUGGCGUCUAACCAUAGUAUAUUGUUAACUGAUCAUGAUAGUUUAGUACUAUUAACCAUUAGACAAUGAUAAUAUUAUGAGAAAGACAAUGCGGCAUCUUAUUAUUUAUAUUGUCCUUGAGUUUGCAUGACUUAAUAAUUUUUUGAAGAUGAAUUGCAAUUACUUACUUGAGGAAAUAAUCUUGAGGAGAUGCAAUGCCAUUUUUUGUUGAAUCGACAUCGUACGCCAAAAUUUCAUCAUCAUCCAAAUGCGACGACCCUUGCACGAAUUUCGCAAACCUUAUGGGAUUCUUGAGCCGGGUCAUAACUCGCCACUGGUCACAGUCUGGACUGGAACAAUAGCCGCGUAAUUCAUCCAAAGCUCUGGCCGUUUCUCGUGCCCCUUGCUCGUGGUAUUCAUCUUCACUCAAAAGCUUUCUCUUCGGUGUUGGUCGAAAUCGUUUCAUGAGAGUUAUGAUUGAGAUGAACCACGACUUGGGAAUAUUGUAAGUCACCAAAAGAAGAAGUUCAACUCCAAGUACUGCUUCCUGGAAGUAGCUGCACAUAAAUAUUGAUACCAGAGCAGCGCCCUGUAAACACCAUUUGAUAAGGUUGAUGCUUCUGGGAUCAGAGACGGGUCCAAAUCUGUAGCAGACGAUGAAGCUGAUGAGUGAGGUGGUAAAGAAGUAUCCAAUCACGUAUUCUUUGUAAAGCAUUGAGAUGUUGCGCACAUUUUCCAUCAUCAGCUGAAAAGCGUAGAAAGUUAUGGCUGAUCCUCCCAGGAAGAGUCCGUACAUCAAAGGUCUCUUUGUAGUUAUACAAUUAUAAAUUUGAUUCUUAUUUUCAUAGUAUUGAGGAAAAUUAUUAAUUUCAGAUGAUGAACUUUUCAUUUUCAAGUACUUUGAUUUCUAAGUAGGUAAACCUUGUUUACACGAUGCCAGUCAGAGGGCAAGUACCUUGGACAAAGCUACCCGUCUUCCAACCAGCCUCGUGUAAUCUAGGUUGUAGAGUAGUACAUUGCUCACAGUGGUCGGUAUGGAAAUGAUCCUAUUUCCCGCUUUCAAAAACAACAAACCUGCCUUAUCAUUUGUAAUCAAGGAGUGCCAACAAUAACAUCGAGCUUGCACUUGUGUGAUUAUAAAAGUGAUUACUCAUAUGCAUUGUUAAUUGCUGCACUCCAGCUCACAAUGUUUUCAUCAAGUCAAGUAUUGUGAUUAUUCACUUCAGUCUACUAAUAUCUAUGACAAAGAUAAGCUACUGUGAAUCGGACUUACUGCUCUAAAAUCCACUCUCGCAGGAGCAUGUUUGUUAACAUCGUUCCUCGGCUCCCAGAACAGACUAUAGAGGUGUUAAUCCAAUAGCUCAAGAUUGGUUCCAACUAUUUCAAUAAUCCCUAUUUGUUUUUCAUUACUAGAUUUUCCGAACAAUUUCUGGUGUUUCAGCGUCACUUUGAUGAACUCUCAUAAGAAUGCCAUUUUCAAUAGUCUGUUUUUUACAAUACAUUUCUACAGCUGAUAUAUUGAACAAUAGCCAAUUAAAAUUUUCUAACCAAACCAAUUAAUUUAUUGUUGAAUUAACUUGAAACAAAUUAUUGAAUGAGUCAUGACUCAUUCUGCAAUUGUUUAAUCUUUUUAUUUUUAGCUCCAGGCAAGUAGGUCUAAGGAUGUCCAAUUCACAUAAGAUAGAAUGGGACUUUCAAAUGAAGAACCUAGUAUGUUGUGACUAAUCUUUGAAAAUGUAUGCCCGAUACCCUUACCCCCAAACCUUGAAUUGAUUCAAUCCUAGAUCCGCCACUGCUUAGCUUUGCUGACAAUACAUUGAUUUCUACUCAUUGGUUCUAAAAUAUUGAAUGUUUAUUUAAUAAUUUAGUUUUAAUAUUGUCAGUGAAAAUUGUGGAAGAUUUUCUUUGUUGAUUCAGAUGUUAAUAAUCUUAUUAUGAUUGGAUGUUAUUCAAGAAGUACUGUGGUACUGUAAUUGUUGUAAUGUUUUAAUUCCAGAUUUCAAUAUCAUAAAAAUUUAUUAUGAAUAGAUGUCUGUGAAUUUAUUGUUUACGUGUUUCACUUUAUCAUGAUAGUGUAAAUAAUUAAUAUUUCUUUGACUUUUCCAUUUGUCUAUUUAUAUAACAAUUAUAAUUUAUAUUAUAUAAUAACAAUUCUUGUGUACCUAUAUUGUUAACUCCGCCAUCUACCAAUAUGGUAGAAGGAUAAAUAAUUAUAUGAGAGGAAUUUCUAUGUAUAGAUUCCAUUACAUUAAAUGUAUGUUCUAAAUGUAUUAAGUUGUCUUCCUUCUUGUGAUUAUGCAUAAUUAUUUCAUCAAUCUAUAUCAUUUAGUUAUUUUCAUCACAUAAUGCUGUAUUAUUGUAAUCAAUAUAUUGUAUCAAAGUAAUAGUCUUGUGUUGUGAUAAUAUAUAUUCUACCUUUUUAUUAUGAG
rnacentral:misc_RNA from 1 species